AGUGAACGCUGGCGGUAGGCCUAACACAUGCAAGUCGAACGGCAGCACAGUAAGAGCUUGCUCUUACGGGUGGCGAGUGGCGGACGGGUGAGGAAUACAUCGGAAUCUACUUUUUCGUGGGGGAUAACGUAGGGAAACUUACGCUAAUACCGCAUACGACCUACGGGUGAAAGCAGGGGAUCUUCGGACCUUGCGCGAUUGAAUGAGCCGAUGUCGGAUUAGCUAGUUGGCGGGGUAAAGGCCCACCAAGGCGACGAUCCGUAGCUGGUGUGAGAGGAUGAUCAGCCACACUGGAACUGAGACACGGUCCAGACUCCUACGGGAGGCAGCAGUGGGGAAUAUUGGACAAUGGGCGCAAGCCUGAUCCAGCCAUACCGCGUGGGUGAAGAAGGCCUUCGGGUUGUAAAGCCCUUUUGUUGGGAAAGAAAAGCAGCAGGUUGAUACCCCGCUGUUCUGACGGUACCCAAAGAAUAAGCACCGGCUAACUUCGUG
rnacentral:rRNA from 1 species